CUGACGGAGCAACGCCGCGUGAGUGAUGAAGGUUUUCGGAUCGUAAAACUCUGUUGUCAGGGAAGAACAAGUACCGGAGUAACUGCCGGUACCUUGACGGUACCUGACCAGAAAGCCACGGCUAACUACGUGCCAGCAGCCGCGGUAAUACGUAGGUGGCAAGCGUUGUCCGGAAUUAUUGGGCGUAAAGCGCGCGCAGGCGGUUCCUUAAGUCUGAUGUGAAAGCCCCCGGCUCAACCGGGGAGGGUCAUUGGAAACUGGGGAACUUGAGUGCAGAAGAGAAGAGUGGAAUUCCACGUGUAGCGGUGAAAUGCGUAGAGAUGUGGAGGAACACCAGUGGCGAAGGCGACUCUUUGGUCUGUAACUGACGCUGAGGCGCGAAAGCGUGGGGAGCAAACAGGAUUAGAUACCCUGGUAGUCCACGCCGUAAACGAUGAGUGCUAAGUGUUAGAGGGUUUCCGCCCUUUAGUGCUGCAGCAAACGCAUUAAGCA
rnacentral:rRNA from 1 species